rnacentral:rRNA from 1 species
UACGUAGGCAGCGAGCGUUGUUCGGAAUUACUGGGCGUAAAGAGCGUGUAGGCGGCCAGACAGGUCCGUUGUGAAAACUAGAGGCUUAACCUCUAGACGUCGAUGGAAACCGUCUGGCUAGAGUCCGGAAGAGGAGAAUGGAAUUCCUGGUGUAGCGGUGAAAUGCGCAGAUAUCAGGAAGAACACCCGUGGCUAAGGCGGUUCUCUAGUACGGUACUGACGCUGAGACGCGAAAGCGUGGGGAGCGAACAGG